rnacentral:rRNA from 1 species
AACGAACGCUGGCGGCAUGCCUAACACAUGCAAGUCGAACGAGACCUUCGGGUCUAGUGGCGCACGGGUGCGUAACGCGUGGGAACCUGCCCUUAGGUUCGGAAUAACUCCCCGAAAGGGGUGCUAAUACCGGAUAAUGUCUUCGGACCAAAGAUUUAUCGCCUUUGGAUGGGCCCGCGUUGGAUUAGCUAGUUGGUAGGGUAAAAGCCUACCAAGGCGACGAUCCAUAGCUGGUCUGAGAGGAUGAUCAGCCACACUGGGACUGAGACACGGCCCAGACUCCUACGGGAGGCAGCAGUGGGGAAUAUUGGACAAUGGGCGAAAGACUGAUCCAGCAAUGCCGCGUGAGUGAUGAAGGCCUUAGGGUUGUAAAGCUCUUUUAACCGGGAUGAUAAUGACAGUACCGGGAGAAUAAGCGCCGGCUAACUCCGUG